rnacentral:misc_RNA from 1 species
AAGACUAUAGACCUGCGGAGUACCUGCGGAGGGAUCAUUACCGAGUGCGGGCCCUCUGGGUCCAACCUCCCACCCGUGUUUAUUGUACCUUGUUGCUUCGGCGGGCCCGCCAUUCUGCCGCCGGGGGGCUUGCCCCCGGGCCCGCGCCCGCCGAAGACACCCUCGAACUCUGUCUGAAGAUUGUAGUCUGAGUGGAAUUAUAAAUUAUUAAAACUUUCAACAACGGAUCUCUAGAUCGGA